CACAACUCCUGCGUGACUCUUUCAUUAACACACAGCAACAGAACAGUGAAUCGCUAACAUGUCAGACAAAAAACAGACUGUGGACCUCGGUCUACUGGAGGAGGACGACGAGUUUGAAGAAUUCCCAGCCGAGGAUUGGACGGGGCUGGAUGAAGAUGAGGAUGCUCAUGUUUGGGAAGACAACUGGGACGAUGACAAUGUAGAGGAUGAUUUCUCAAAUCAGCUGAGAGCGGAGCUGGAAAAACAUGGUUACAAGAUGGAGACGUCAUAGCGGCUGACAAGGCCUUUCAGUAUUUGAUGACACUGGAUAUGGACAUUCAUGUUUGAAUAUUACUGGCCGACCACAAACCAGAAACCAGAAAUGGAUCUGAGGGUGUUAAUUAGUUUCUUUUUUAUUUGUAAGAAAUGUUGAUGAAAGUAAAGUGUUUGAAGAAAACAA